UACGUAGGUGACAAGCGUUGUCCGGAUUUACUGGGCGUAAAGAGCGCGCAGGCGGUCGUUCAAGUCGAGUGUGAAAGCCCCCGGCUCAACUGGGGAGGGUCACUCGAUACUGAUCGACUCGAAGGCAGGAGAGGGUAGUGGAAUUCCCGGUGUAGUGGUGAAAUGCGUAGAUAUCAGGAAGAACACCCGUGGCGAAGGCGGUUCUCUGGGACGGUACUGACGCUGAGACGCGAAAGCGUGGGGAGCGAACAGG
rnacentral:rRNA from 1 species